GGAAUAAACAGAAUACAAGGACAUCUGGGUGGAAGUCACCAGUGCCUGCACAUGGAACUAUGAAGAUCACCAUUUUUCAGAUUAAGAAACUGAGGCUCACAUUGUGAAAUAACACUCUCUGGAAAGCUGACUCAGAAAUUGGAAUGAGUUGUCUGUGGAUCCUGUAAGGAGCCUGGACAUGGUGAAGAGAAUGCCUUGACCAUCAGGAGACAGCUUAGCUUGUUGAAUCUUGAUCACUUCUUCUGACCGCUUUGGAUCUUAAAAGAACAAGGCUCACAGACUACCAUUUAAGGACAUGGUCUCCAAGGAUGUCGUGGUGAUGCAGGAUCAAGUCCCUCAUGGGAGGAUGACAAUCCUGGCUCUAAAGCUGACCCCGGGGGAGCUCUUGGCAGCAUGUUCUUUGGAACUGUUUGUGCCUCCUCCGAAGAUACUAGACAACUAUGAGUCAAAUUAAAAUGCUUCCUUUGCAACAUCCAAGUCUUUCAACAUAGUGUUUCUGAAGUUUAUAGACAGAUUAACCAAAGCCAAAACUCUGCAUGUGAUUUUACUUCACAAUCACUUUGUCCUGUAGAUGUCUCAUAUCGAGCAUUAGGAAGAGGCUUGAGCAUGAGUUAUCCAAGGAAGAGAUAACUUAAAAGGGAACCAUCUACAGUGUGGAAUUUCCCAGCUCCUCUCCCACCUGGAAAUAAAAGAAGAUUCCUGGUUCUGGAUAUUCUGAACAGAGGGUCUUCAGGAUUGAGGGGCCUCUUCCUCUAUUUUGAUCUGCAAAACUCAGCCUGAGCUACUAUGGCUCUCGGGGAGCAGUUAUUCAAACCCAUCCUUUGUGAAUUUCACAAGUGUAAAGAAAUGACAAUGCACUGAAACAAACUAGAUAUCAGGCAUCUGUUCUAUUUCAUUCCCCCCUUUUCCAUUUUCUUCUCCUCCAUCCCAUUCUAUGUCAUUCUGGGCAAUUGUAUUUUAUUGCUAGCCAUUCUAUUCUAUGCCAUCCCAUUACAUUUGAACUUCUGACCUUUUUAUUCUGUAUUGUUCUGGCCUAUUCUAUUCCAUUUUGCAGCCAAGAAAAUUUAUGUAUUUUUGGUAAAUGUUUUAGCAUAAAUAUGCCAAAAUUUUGCAUGGGAUAUACCCAUACCAAAAAUUGUUGUUCAUCUGAAAUUCAAAUUUAACUGGGCAUCCUAUAUUAUUUCUGGCAGAAUUAAGGCAGAAGAGCCUUAAUUCUGGACCUGCAGUAUGUGUCGUAUUUCCAGGACUAGGAAGCUGAACUUAGCCUUAUGCAGACUCUCAGUAAACACUACAUUGUGCCUGAAUUGUUUUUCACCUGUUACUUGCACCUGACAGGCAGCCAAGCCUAAAACUAGAGUACUAUGAAGAGGCAAACAGGAGAUGGGGAGAUAGAGAGAGGAGGUACAAGGAGGUCUUAAAACUGAUUUGACUGAAUGGUAAAGGGAAAAUUAUUGAGAAAAAAAAUCAAACCCACUAAUCAACAGUGUUGAAAUUAGCUGUGCUGUGUAGGGUCAGAACCUGUCUUUAUUUAAGUUUUUCAUGUUUUGUUCAUCAUGGAUGUUUUGCAGUAAUUUUUACUUUAAAAAUAUUGCAUUAACAACCUGGGAAACACGUGAAACCCUGUCUCUAAAAAACAAAUACAAAAAAUAGCUGGGUGCAGUGGUGCACGCCUAUAGUCCCAGCUACUUAGCAGGCUGAGCUGGGAGGAUUGCUUAAGCCCAGGAGGCAGAGGUAGGUUGCAUUGUGAGUGGUGAUUGCCACUGCACUCCGGCCUGGGUGACAGAAUGAGACCCUGUCUCAAAACAAAACAAAACAAAACAAAACAAAACAAAACAAAAUAGCAUUAAAUGUUGUUCGUCUUGAUUAUUAAGCUUUUUGGUGUCUCCUUAAAUUUUGCAUCCUUGUCCUAAUUAUGCUUGUUGCACUUAACAGAAUGUAGAUUCUGCCGGGGGCGGGUGAUAAUACCCAUUGGUGUGUGUCCUAUGGAGAGCAUUAUUAUCUGGGUGACGUACCUCUUGUUGGAGCAUUCUGUGUUAGAUGUUUCCUUGUUGAAGUCUCUGAAAAUUUCUUUAAUCUUAGUCAUCACCUUUUCUAAUUGUGUCUGUUGGCGUCUUUCUAACAAUCCCAUCUCUGUCCCAUUGUGACUACUGUGUACUUCCUGACUUCACUUUCCCUUAUGGGUACCAUAAGGAGAAAAAUAGUUCCUACUUCAUGGAGUUAUUUUGUUUUUUAUUUUUUAUUUUCUUUUAGUAGAGAGGGGGUUUCACUGUGUUGGCCAGGCUGGUCUCAAACUCCUGACCUCAGGUGAUCCACCCACCUCCACCCUCCAAAAUGCUGGGAUUACAGGUGGAGGCACCGCAUCUGGCCUCAUGAAGUUAUUUUAAUGAUUUAAUGGGAUUACUACCUAAAGCACAUAAUCCUCAUAUGUGGUAAAUGGGAAACAACCCAUAAAUGUUAUAAUAGUAAUAAUUAACAUUUGUCUAAUUUGAUGCUCCAGGCAACUGUGUGAUAUGGACACAAUGUUUACCCUCAUUUCACAGAUGAGAAAGUAGGGUACAGAGUGGGAGGGUGGUUCGUGCAAUGUAACUCAACUAGUGCAUGGGGGUAGAAGCCAGACUUUCUGAGUCUAAGUCCAUUUCCCAUUCCAACAUACCACACCAAGAUCAUUAGCAGCCUAAAAGACCAAAUGUGGAGACGUGGAAGCUUCUAGAAGGUUCUGGAAUUUAAGGUAACAUUCUUCUUCCUGGCCCCACACUGGAAUAUUAUUUGUAGAAUAGUUCUAAUUGUCUUGGAUUUAUAGCACAUCACUAUGCCAAUAGCUUUUGAUUGAGCUUUCAGACUUGAUGUGUGUGUUUAAAGAUCUAAUGUCAACCUCAACUAAGCAUUAACUUAAUGCAUUUAUUAAACAUUGCGUAUAGAAUAUAAUCAUGGUGAAAAAAUUCUCAUAUUGCUGCAUUUUAGAAGCAAUACAUUUUCCUGUAGGGAAAAAGUGAUUGAAAUUUAUAGAGACCCCACCUUUAAAUAAAAUUUGGGGAGAGGAUCAGUGAGACUCAUCAGAAUCUUCUAGUUGGCAAGAGAUCACUUCCUGGAAGGUGUAUGGUUAUACGUAAAGUGCUUGGCAGUUUACUUAGAAAACACUGGUAUCAGCAAUGAGCUAAGGAAGAUUCAAGGGUUAAAGCCUUGUUUUUCUUUGUAGUUAUUUAUUAGACUAUAUUUAUUAAUGGUACAAAUCCCAUAGUAAAUUAAGAUAAAUUGCAGUCUAUAUUUGAAAACUCAAAGCCACCAACGAUCCAAAAAAACUGAAAAGUGAAUAAAGGCAGUUAUCUGCUUUCAGAUUUAUUUCCCAACAGUCCCUCUUUAAUGUUGGCUGUGAUGUGUGCCUUGACAUCUUUUUGUUUGUUUUUCCUCUGAGAGUCAGUUAUCCUGGGAAUAAAAUAUGUUUGUGAGAGGCAGUCUAGUGGCAUGCUUUAGGCUGUGGGCUUUAUACUGAACUCAGUUUGAGUGUCAACUCUACUAAUUCCAGCUGUAUGAGCCUGGGCAUGUUCCUUAAGUACUUGGAGUCUAAGCACUUGGCUAAUAGUGGUAUCUCCUUCAUGAUGUUCUUAAAAAAUUAAAUGAGAUAAUGCAUGUAAAGUGCUUAGGGCCGUGCCUUACCAACAUUAAGUGGUCAAUAAAUGUUAGUUAUUAGUUGGGAAAUAGGAAUAAUGUAAUCCUCUUAAGGAUAUUUUGAGGAUUCAUUGAGAUGCUUAUAAAGCAUUUAGGUCACUACCUGACCCACAGUGAGCACUACUCAAUAAGUGUUCAUCAUUGACAUGGUUGUUUUUGUUUUUACAUGUUAUUUGUAAAAUGUGGAUAAUGUAAUUAACUUAGUAUCGUUCUGAAGACUAAUAGAGAUAAUGUGUGUGAAGUAUUCAGCUCUGUGCCUGUCACAGAGUAAGAACCAAAUUAUGUUAAUCUCCUUAAGGACAAGAACUGUGCUUUUAUGUCAUUUUUUUCCCCAGCACCCUGGUUCAAUGCUUGACACAUAGAA
rnacentral:lncRNA from 1 species